rnacentral:piRNA from 1 species
UUGGUCCAGGAUGUCUGGAGGC